GAGCGAGAGAGAAUGACUGAGAGAGUUUAGAGUCAAAGAGACCAAACCAGAUGACCCGUAACCCAGGAAAAACUCGGAGGAAAAACCGUGACCCAGUUCUACCCAAUCUCCGGCAAGCCGAUCUCCGGCUGUUCUGCAACAAAUCAAGGCAGUGGGUGUGCUGUCCGGCGGCUCAGUGCUCCGACCAGUGAAGCCCGCGGACCCAGACCCGAUUUCCGGCCAUCGGUGGCUUGUCUUCCGGUGGGUUGUCAACCGAUCGAUCUAAAGGAGGUUUCCGGCGAUUUCACCCCGGCCCAACCGUAACGUAGCAGAUUGGUUCAACUCGGCCAGGUUCCGGCUGAUUGUAGCAGACCCGGAACCUGUGAACACUCGGCCAGAACCAAAGCAGGCGAAGUCCAUUAAAUUGACCCAGAACCCACGAACCCGAACCGUGGAGACCCCAAUUCAGAAACCCGUUAAGCCCAGUUGUAAUUCGGACCCCGACCCCAGCAAGCUUGAAUCCAGCAACUGGCGUGAUCCAGCCCGCGACCCAACAGUGAUCCAGCCAGUGAUCCACGAACCGAGCCCAUAACCUGUGAGCCCAGCCAGCACAGACCCGAUCCAGCAAAGACCCAUGCGACUUGUGUAACCCCAACCCGAAACCCACCUGAACCGUGUGUGUGUGCAACCGUCCAGCCCAUAACCGCGAGCCCAACCCAGCAACAUGUGAACCACGGCAGCCCAGAACCAGAAGCCCAUUAACCCGGAACCCGGUCAGACCCAUAACCCGUGGCCCAGCAACCCAGAAUCCCUUAAGCCCAAACCCGUAGCCCAGAAUCAGAAACCCAUAACCGAACCAAUCUGAAAUUAUCCCAGACCCGUUAAGCUCAGUUAUGACCCGGCCCAGCUGUGACCCAUCACAGCAACCCAGAACCAGAGACCCAAGCCCAUAAACCGUAAGCCCAACUAGCAACAACCCGGACCUGACUCCAGCCCAAUUUAAUCAACCCAACCCAGUGGACCAGUAAGCCCAAACCCAUCAAACCAGAAGCCCAACCCAAUCUGUUUGACCCAAACCCAUGGACUUGAAUCCAUUUGAGCCCAGCCCAAUCCAACAUGAUUUAACCCAACCAAGCCCAGACCCACUGAACCGACCCGGUCCAAACAGUGACCCGAAGACCCGACCCGGAUCCAAACCCAUGACCCAGAGACCCGACCCGCCGGCGACCCAUCUCCGGCAGAACUCCGGCUACCUUUCCGGCGAACUUUCCGGCGACUUUUCCGGCGAAUUUUUCCGGCGAAUUUCCGUGACCGAACUUACUAUUUUCACUAGAUUUUCUAGUGAAAAUCCUUAAUAAGAUAUACUAAGAAAACCAUACAAAGAGGAGUAAAGCUCGAUCCCGAUAUUAAUGGGAAAUUCGGUUAUGAACAGAGAGACGUAGGUGGCCGGGAUGGGAUCUAGGAAUGCAUUAGGACAUUUCAUUUAUAUUACCCAAAAUUUUCAGUUAUUGUAUCUUUUACAAUUAAAUGACCGUUUCCGCAUUUAUUAAAAACUCUGAUAUUUUGAAACCAUUAUUAUUUUUAUUUAUUUAAAUCAGCAUACUAGUUAAGAUAUUUGGCAGACCUUACGAAUCUUUGCAGUUUAAAGAGAAAAGUGACGAACCUAACCCAUAGCGGUUUGGGGGCGUUACAGUGGCGUUCUCACCAAUCUAGGUUCUUGAAACAAGAUUUCAACGGGUCUAGAUCUUCUUGACUUGAUUCUUGGCUUUCUUGGGUAGGUUUCAAUUUGAUUGUGGGUUCAAGGGAGAUCGAUCCCACAGGUUCACAUCAUUUGGUAUCAGAGCUCAAGCUCCAAAUCAGGGAUUCCACUUGUCAGAAUAUUUUUAGAAGACUCUGCACUGCGAAAAAGAUAAAAGAUUUCAGAUUCCCUGUUAGCCGUCUGGACAACGUGUCAUCCCGUCUGGCCGCCCAUCUGUCCACUGUUCCAUCAGUCCGGACGACGUGUUCAUCCCGACCGGACGCCAGACAGACCAGCAUCAUCCGUCCGGACGAUGUAUCUUUUCCGUUCGGACCCUACACUGUACCGAGAAGCUUCUGUUCCAGCUUGCAUUCGUCCGGACAUCUCAGCAGCCCAUCCGGACGCCUAUCAGUACUCGAACAGUCUCAGAUUCUUUCCAAGUUCCAAUAAAGGGAAGAUCGAUCAACCGUCCGGACAAUGUGGUAUCCCGUCCGGAUGCGCGUCUCCUUAAGGCAAGAAUCGCAGUUCAAAUAUCACCGUCCGGACGUCAGUCAGCCUUGGUCCGGACGUGUGUUCAAUAAAGAAGGAAAUUGCCAAUUCGACUUCAACCGUCCGGACGUCUGCCUCUCAUGGUCCGGACGCAUGCAUAGCAGAUAUGGAAAUUGCGUGUUGAAGAAUUGCCGUUCGGAUGUUCAUCCCCCUUGGUCCGGACGCGCUAAGCCUUAUAUGGAAAUUACUUGCAGCAGACAUGUGACUGUCCGGACGUCAGUGUCUCACUGUCCGGACGCAGGUCUUAAACAUGAAAGAUUUUCAGUGAAAUUUUUGAAAAAUCCUGUCGCAUAAUUGUCCGUCCGGACGGCCCAAUUUCACCGUCCGGACGGCGUCCGUACAUAUUAUAGCAGUCGCCCAUUCUGCACCUCAGCCUAUAAAUAGAGGCCUCCGGGCAUUGAGAACUGCAAGAAUUCGGUAUUGAAUUCCACAAGAGCUCAGAGAAGUUCAAGAUUCCUCUGAAGCCGUUUCAAGUGUGCUGCGCUACAACUGAAGUCUAUCUUAGAGGUCGGCUCUAAGGUAAGGAAUUCCAUUGAAGACCUCUUCAGGUAGGAGACCUGGUUGGGAAGCGUUCGUGUUGAGUUACACGUCAGAGAGCAAGGUAUGACCACUGCAUCGGUACAUGUGAGUGUUACUAUCUUGUAUCUAGCUUCGUCUUCUGAAUAGUGGAAUUCCUGGGUUUGGCUGCCCCGGAGUGGUUUUUCUCUUGAUUGAAUUUCCACUUCGUCAACAAAAA